UACGUAGGGGUGCAAGCGUUAAUCGGAAUUACUGGGCGUAAAGGGCGCGUAGGCGGCCUGCUAAGUCGAACGUGAAAUCCCCGGGCUCAACCCGGGAACUGCGUCCGAUACUGGCAGGCUUGAAUUCGGGAGAGGGAGUGCGGAAUUCAGGUGUAGCGGUGAAAUGCGUAGAUAUCUGGAGGAACACCGGUGGCGAGGCGGCAUCCUGGACCGAAAUUGAACGCUGAGGCGCGGAAAGC
rnacentral:rRNA from 1 species